rnacentral:rRNA from 1 species
GUGAUCGAUAGCUCUGCUGCCAUAUGCGCGUCGUCCAAGCACGGCACCUACACCUUUGAUGUUUCGAGGGAGGUGUCGAGCCACAGCGGCAGCUGGGUGCUGCCCUUCCACCGCGCAGCAGAGUAUGUCCCUGAGCUCGGACUCUGGUUCGGCCUCCAGGCCCCUGGCACCUGGCAAAAUCGGUUAUGUGCAUUUGACCUUUCGUCCUCUGUCAUGGCGGAAUCUGCUCCUUCACCCCUGCAUGAUUGGGAAUACCUCGGUCUCCUGCCUGAUGAGUUGCUGCCGGUGGGGCGUGCCUUGGUGAACCUGGGCUCAGGCAAGUUUUGCAUCGCGACCCAGUGCAGGAAGAAGAGGUCUGCGCGCCAGGAGGAGGACGUGGUGGAGAAUAUUAGGAGUUUGGGUGGAAAUGGGGGUGUGCAAACUCUCUUGACUGGCGUGGAGGUGGUCCGCUGCGCCGACGGGCUCCAGCUUAUCCACCACAAGUCCCAACGUUACAACAUUGAAAAC